rnacentral:rRNA from 1 species
UACGAGAGGCCCAAACGUUAUUCGGAAUUACUGGGCUUAAAGAGUCCGUAGGCGGCGCGGAAAGUGGGGUGUGAAAGCCCUCGGCUCAACCGAGGAAUUGCGCUCCAAACUACCGUGCUUGAGGAACCUAGAGGUGAGCAGAACUGAUGGUGGAGCGGUGAAAUGCGUUGAUAUCAUCAGGAAUACCGGAGGCGAAGGCGGCUCACUGGGGGGUUUUCUGACGCUGAGGGACGAAAGCCAGGGUAGCGAACGGG